UACGUAGGGGGCUAGCGUUGUCCGGAAUCAUUGGGCGUAAAGAGCGUGUAGGCGGCCCGGUAAGUCCGCUGUAAAAGUCAAAGGCUCAACCUUUGAAAGCCGAUGGAUACUGUGUGGCUAGAGUACGGAAGAGGCGAGUGGAAUUCCUGGUGUAGCGGUGGAAUGCGCAGAUAUCAGGAGGAACACCAAUAGCGAAGGCAGCUCGCUGGGACGUUACUGACACUGAGGCGCGAAAGCGUGGGGAGCGAACAGG
rnacentral:rRNA from 1 species